ensembl:lncRNA
AGCAGAAGUCAACCAAAAUAAUUUCUAUGUAGAUGAUUGUCUUACUUUUGUGCCCACAGAAUCUGAUGCGAUCCAACUAUAUAAGGAACUCCAUACGAUGUGUGCUAAAGGUGGAUUUUAUCUGACCAAAUGGAUGAGCAAUAGUCGUGGAGUGUUGAAUGCCAUACUAGAAGAAGACUGGGUGAAAGAAGUAAAGGAUCUUGACUUGAAACAUGAUGUGCUUCCGAUGUAAAGGGUACUAGGUGUACAGUGGUGUGCUGAAUCUGACACCUUCAAAUUUAGGAGUAGUAGUAAUCAAGGACAGACGUUUUACUAGAAGACGGAUACUUUCCGUGAUUAGUGCCAUGUAUGAUCCGCUCAGAUUUUUGUCUCCAGUAGUUUUUUCCGCAAAGAAGAUUCUUCAGGAUCUUUGCAGCGAAAGGAUUGGAUGGGAUAGUGUCAUACCCAUCAAAUAUACAGAGAUGGAGAAGCUGGCUUGAAGAUCUUCAUGGCUUGGAGACAAAAAGAUGUUUGAAACCUGUAGAGUUUGGAGAAGUCACAUCGGCUCAGUUACAUAAUUUCUCUGAUGCCAGUGAAGAAGGCUAUGAUGUUGUGUCCUACCUGCUUCUACGUAAUAGAAGCUACGUCAGAGCAUUGGACAUUCUGCUUUCUUGAUGGGUAAAGAUCGAGUAGCACCAGUGAAAUCUACCACCAUUCCCCGCAUGUAACUUACAGCCUCCACUCUCGCCAGCCGAAUGGACAGGCUAUGGAAAAGGGAUCUAAGGAUGAAGCUACAAGAUUCAGUGUUUUGGUCUGAUAGCACUGCUGUGUUAAAAUAUAUUCAAAAUGAGUCCUCCAGAUUUAAGUGUUUUGUUGCCAACAGAGAGUGUCUGAGAUCUUGAGAGCAUCCAGCGCAGCUCAGUGGAGAUAUAUAGAUUCUGCCAACAAUCCUGCUGACUUUGCUUCAAGGGGGCUAAAAGUAGAUAUUUUACUUAAGGAGCAGAUGUGGGAGUUUGGCCCUCCCUUCCUUAUUAAAUCACAGGUAGAGUGGCCGAAUUAACCAAUUGAUUUGGGAAAGAGUUGGGUAUAAGACCCAGAAAUCAAGCAAGAACACACUACUGGUUCAAACUGAGGAGAGAGAUGAUGCUGUAUCAUGACUUAUCAAUCAUUAUUCAUCAUGGACACGUCAGGCUAAAGAGAAUUCAGUAAAAGGAGAAGACAAUUGAAGAGAACUAUUGAUUGUACUGAAUCUAAUCAACCACUGA